rnacentral:rRNA from 1 species
UGCAGGAGUUGCAGGUGUUGUACGGAUCCGAAUAGACCGUCUGCAUUUGCCUUCUUUUGUGGGCCAUCGCAUUUCUUGGCAGCGUGCGUCAACAACUGUUGGGACCAAGCGAAAAGCCUCGCGAGAAGGUGGCUGGCUCCGGCUAGUGUUAUAGCUCGUGGUGGUGAGUUUGGGCCCGACAGAGGAGUCGCGGUACAUGCUCUUUUGGGCUGGCCUCUCUCUUCUCAGUUUGUAUUCGACUAUGACGGACUGCACGCAGUGCGUUUGAACUGGUAUGGGCUGUCGAAGGGAAGAGUGCACAAAUGUACCAAGGUUGUUGGCGGUCAUAUGAUUUCAUACGACCCGUCUUGAAACACGGACCAAGGAGUCUAACAUGUGUGCGAGUCUUAGGGUGAUAGAAACCCGCAGGCAUAAUGAAAGUAAAGGCUGCUUGCAGCUGAAGUGAGAUCUCUUCCUACCGGAGGAGCGCAUCAUUGACCGACCUAUUCUACUCCUAGAAAGGUUUGAGUAAGAGCACAUCUGUUGGGACCCGAAAGAUGGUGAACUAUGCUUGAGUAGGGCGAAGCCAGAGGAAACUCUGGUGGAGGCUCGUAGCGAUUCUGACGUGCAAAUCGAUCGUCAAACUUGAGUAUAGGGGCGAAAGACUAAUCGAACCAUCUAGUAGCUGGUUCCCUCCGAAGUUUCCCUUAGGAUAGCUGGAACUCGGAACAGUUUUAUCAGGUAAAGCGAAUGAUUAGAGGUCUUAGGGUUGAAACAACCUUAACCUAUUCUCAAACUUUAAAUUGGUAAGAAGCCCGACUUGCUUAAUUGAAGUAGGGCACAGAAUGAGAGUUCUUAGUGGGCCAUUUUUGGUAAGCAGAACUGGCGAUGCGGGAUGAACCGAACGUUGAGUUAAGGCGCCUAAAUCGACGCUCAUCAGACCCCACAAAAGGUGUUGGUUGAUCUAGACAGCAGGACGGUGGCCAUGGAAGUCGGAAUCCGCUAAGGAGUGUGUAACAACACACCUGCCGAAUCAACUAGCCCUGAAAAUGGAUGGCGCUCAAGCGUCGUGCCUAUACUCAACCGUCAGAGUAAAUAGCGAAGCUCUGACGAGUAGGAGGGCGUGGGGGUCGUGGCGAAGCCUUUGGCGUGAGCCUGGGUGAAACGGCCUCUAGUGCAGAUCUUGGUGGUAGUAGCAAAUAUUCAAAUGAGAACUUUGAAGACCGAAGUGGAGAAAGGUUCCAUGUGAACAGCAGUUGGACAUGGGUUAGUCGAUCCUAAGAGAUAGGGAAACUCCGUUUCAAAGGCUCAAUCUUGAGCCAUUUAUCGAAAGGGAAUCGGGUUAAUAUUCCCGAACCGGAACGUGGAUAUUCUAGUCCUUUUGGGCUAGAUUUGCGGUAACGCAACUGAACUCGGAGACGUCGGCAGGAGCCCUGGGAAGAGUUCUCUUUUCUUGUUAACGACCUGACACCAUGGAAUCUGAUUGCCAGGAGAUAUGGUUUAAUGGUCGGUAAAGCACCACACUUCUUGUGGUGUCCGGUGCGCUCCUGAAGGCCCUUGAAAAUCCGAGGGAAAGAUUGAUUUUCGCGUCCGUUCGUACUCAUAACCGCAGCAGGUCUCCUAGGUGAGCAGCCUCUGGUCGAUAGAACAAUGUAGGUAAGG